UGGGGAAUUUUGGACAAUGGGCGAAAGCCUGAUCCAGCAAUGCCGCGUGUGUGAAGAAGGCCUUCGGGUUGUAAAGCACUUUUGUCCGGAAAGAAAUCCUUGGCUCUAAUACAGUCGGGGGGAUGACGGUACCGGAAGAAUAAGCACCGGCUAACUACGUGCCAGCAGCCGCGGUAAUACGUAGGGUGCAAGCGUUAAUCGGAAUUACUGGGCGUAAAGCGUGCGCAGGCGGUUUGCUAAGACCGAUGUGAAAUCCCCGGGCUCAACCUGGGAACUGCAUUGGUGACUGGCAGGCUAGAGUAUGGCAGAGGGGGGUAGAAUUCCACGUGUAGCAGUGAAAUGCGUAGAGAUGUGGAGGAAUACCGAUGGCGAAGGCAGCCCCCUGGGCCAAUACUGACGCUCAUGCACGAAAGCGUGGGGAGCAAACAGGAUUAGAUACCCUGGUAGUCCACGCCCUAAACGAUGUCAACUAGUUGUUGGGGAUUCAUUUCCUUAGUAACGUAGCUAACGCGUGAAGUUGACCGCCU
rnacentral:rRNA from 1 species